rnacentral:rRNA from 1 species
UACGAAGGGGGCUAGCGUUGCUCGGAAUCACUGGGCGUAAAGGGUGCGUAGGCGGGUUUUAAGUCAGAGGUGAAAUCCUGGAGCUCAACUCCAGAACUGCCUUUGAUACUGAAAGUCUUGAGUAUGGGAGAGGUGAGUGGAACUGCGAGUGUAGAGGUGAAAUUCGUAGAUAUUCGCAAGAACACCAGUGGCGAAGGCGGCUCACUGGCCCGAUCUGACGCUGAGGCACGAAAAGCGUGGGGGAGCAAACAGGG